AUACGUAGGGUGCGAGCGUUGUCCGGAAUUACUGGGCGUAAAGAGCUCGUAGGUGGUUUGUCGCGUCGUCUGUGAAAUUCCGGGGCUUAACUCCGGACGUGCAGGCGAUACGGGCAUAACUUGAGUACUGAAGGGGAGACUGGAACUCCUGGUGUAGCGGUGCAAUGCGCAGAUCUCAGGAGGAACACCGGUGGCGAAGGCGGGUCUCUGGGCAGUAACUGACACUGAGGGGCAAAAGCAUGGGUGGCGAACAGGAUUACAUGCCCUUGUAGUACAUGCCGUAAGCGGUGGGCGCUAGGUGUAGGGGUCUUCCACGAAUUCUGUGCCGUGGCUAACGCAUUAAGCG
rnacentral:rRNA from 1 species